UUUUCAUUGCCAAUCUAAACAGGCCCUAACUCAUCAGUGGACAUUUUGCAAGAGGAGAAAGCCGAAAGCCUCUUUUGAGCUGGGACCUGUUUAGAUUGGGAACGAAAACG
rnacentral:pre_miRNA from 1 species